GGGGCGGGGAGGGGCUGGGGCAUCUGCCAAUGGGAGAGCAGUGCCUGUGACCGACGGCGAGAGAAGCCCGGCUGGGAUUGCGAUACGGGGUGAGCCGGUCACAUGGGCUCCGGGAGAGAGGGGGUCUGAACGCCCGAGUUGGAGUAUCUAUGCAGACCCUCAUAAUAACAAAUAACUAGGAGGAUACGAGGGGCCCUUCUGACCUCAGGCAGAAAGACAGGAGAAACUAUCUGCUUUUCGAGGUCAGCCAAAAUCUCCCCGCCACCGGGCCCCUAGGGACUUCUUGGAGGUAGAAGGGAGUCAAGCUUCCCCCAUCAGACCAGGAACUUCCUGAAAGCUUGAAUUGCAUCUCUUCUCCUCUUCUGUAUCCUCUUUACAAUGCUCGGGACAAGGUUCUUUUUGAAGUGGGGAAGGGAGAAGAGAUAUUUUCCUCUCGAUAAAAUCAAUGUUCAGAGGUGGUCCAGGUUGCUCAGAGUUAGAAGAGGACCUGGAUGCCGGAAGAUUCCUCCCAAGAAUUUCCUGAGACCUGGAGAAAAUUCUCAUUCCUAGAAUGACUCAAGAGGCAGAGGAAUUAUCCUGAGAUCACCUGGAGACCUGCAGGCAACAGGAGAAGGGAAAAGAAGAUUAAUAUGAUAAGACCAUGUCUGCACUUGGCAAGUGAAGAGGCCUGGCAUGUACAUAGCUAUCUUGAGAAAGUGAAGGUGGAGGAAGAGAGCCUGUGGUAUAAUUCCCAGUCUCUGGGGAAAUUCUUCAUUUUAACCAUAUCGAAAGAGUCAAUCAAACCACAGCAGGGAUUUAUUGUGUGAGGUUUUUAUUAUCAACUUGAGGCUAGAACUCAAAAUCAGCUCCAUCUACAGGGAAAGGUUCCUGUUGUCACCAAGGGCAUGCAUCUUUGCAUCUUUUCUCCAGGCUCCAGUCUCAACACCUGCUGAUGUUCUUUAUAUAGGUACCUGAAGUAGAGUUGGUCUCUUCCAUCUUCCCUCUUGAAGCUGGCAUCCAGAAAUACUCAAAGUGACUCAAAGUUUGAAGAGAAUUUGAAAAAGUCUCAAGAUAGUGAAGCUUUCUCACUCUUACCAGCUCUGAUCUGCCUCUCAUGCAGACAACUAUGUCCAAACAACAUAUGGACAGGGUGAAUGGAGAUAGUCCCAGGGGGAAGGCAUUAAGAUUGAGGAGGACUGAAAAGAGUUUCUUAUAGAAGAUGGGCUUUUAGCUGAGACAUGAAAGAAGCAAGGGAAACCAGGAGGUAGAGAUGAGGAGAGAGAAUUCCACAGAAGUGUAAAAAAACUGUCCUUUGAUACUUUCCAUUACUGGAAGCAAAAAGACCACUUGACUCACUGGAUUUGAAGUCAAAAGACCUGGGUUAGAAUCCCAGCUUAGCUAUUUACUGUUAAUGUGACCUUAGGUAUGUAACCUGGGCAGCUAGGUGGCACAGUGGAUAGAGCACCAAGCCUGGAGUCAGG